rnacentral:rRNA from 1 species
AAAAACAUGUCUUUUUGAUUUAAUUUAAAGUCUAAUCUGCCCACUGAUUUUUAAUUAAAGGGCUGCAGUAAUUUGACUGUACAAAGGUAGCAUAAUCAUUAGUCUUUUAAUUGAAGACUUGUAUGAAAGAUUUGAUGAGAUAUAAACUGUCUCUAAUUUAUAAUUAAAAUUUAAUUUUUUAGUUAAAAAGCUAAAAUAAAUUUAAAAGACGAGAAGACCCUAUAGAGUUUUAUAUUUUAUAAUUUAAAAUAUUUUUAUAAAAUUUUAAUAUUUAAUAAUAUAAAUUAUUUUGUUGGGGUGAUAAAAAAAUUAAAAAAACUUUUUUUAAAAUUUUACAUAGAUAAGUGUUUAAAUGAUCUUGAAUAAUGAUUAAAAGAAAAAAUUACCUUAGGGAUAACAGCGUAAUAUUUUUUUUUAGUACAAAUAAAAAAAAAAGUUUGCGACCUCGAUGUUGGAUUAAGAUAAAAUUUAAAUGCAAAAGUUUAAAAUUUUGAUCUGUUCGAUCAUUAAAAUCUUACAUGAUCUGAGCUCAAACCG